AGACAGAAUGAAGUAUCUUCUCUUUCAGGGACAGGAGAGCAGCCAGGUGUGCCUGUGGAUUUUCAAGAUGAAAUACUUCCUGUGAAUUGUGGAGAGAAGAAGGGGCUGUUAAUUAAGAGGAAAUUGGAACGAGGAGCCACAAGGAAGUGCAUAAGAACUGAAGAUGGAAACUGGUUCACCCCCAAGGAGUUUGAAAUCAGAGGAGGCUACGAAAAAGCAAAUAACUGGAGGGACCACCUGACCUGUGGUGGAAAACGCCUAAGACUUCUGAUAGAGCUUGGAUUUAUCCUUCCACUUCCCACUACAAAAAAGGUGGAAAACUCAGGCAAAUGUGUAAUCUGCCAGGAUGGAGGAAAGCUCGUUGGCUGUGGUACUUGUCCCAGAGUCUUUCAUGAGGGCUGUCACCUCCCACCUGUGGAGACUAGAAGGAAUGCUUGGAAGUGCACAUACUGCACAAUAGGAAAUCC